CUAGCUACAGGCUUAACACAUGCAAGUCGAGGGGUAGCAGGGUAGCAAUACCGCUGACGACCGGCGCACGGGUGAGUAACACGUAUCCAACCUUCCCAUAACUCGGGGAUAGCCUUUCGAAAGAAAGAUUAAUACCCGAUAGUACUUUUUCAAGGCAUCUUGAGAAAGUUAAAGAUUUAUUGGUUAUGGAUGGGGAUGCGUUCCAUUAGAUAGUUGGUGAGGUAACGGCUCACCAAGUCUUCGAUGGAUAGGGGUUCUGAGAGGAAGGUCCCCCACAUUGGUACUGAGACACGGACCAAACUCCUACGGGAGGCAGCAGUGAGGAAUAUUGGUCAAUGGGCGAGAGCCUGAACCAGCCAAGUAGCGUGAAGGAUGACGG
rnacentral:rRNA from 2 species